GACGAACGCUGGCGGCGUGCCUAAUACAUGCAAGUAGAACGCAGUUGCGAACGGGUGAGUAACGCGUAGGUAACUGCCUGGUAGCGGGGGAUAACUAUUGGAAACGAUAGCUAAUACCGCAUACUACCAGAUGGACCUGCGUUGUAUUAGCUAGUUGGUGGGGUAACGGCUCACCAAGGCAACGAUACAUAGCCGACCUGGGAGGGUGGUCGGCCACACUGGGGUGUGGACACGGCCCAGGCUCCUACGGGGGGCAGCGUUAGGGAAUCUGCGGGAAUGGACGGAAGUCUGACCGAGCAACUCCGCGUGAGUGAAGAAGGUUUUCGGAUCGUAAAGCUCUUUUGUAAGGGAAGCGGUAUCUAACCAGAAAGGGACGGCUAACUACGUGCCAGCAGCCGCGGUAAUAC
rnacentral:rRNA from 1 species